rnacentral:rRNA from 1 species
AACGAACGCUGGCGGCAUGCCUAACACAUGCAAGUCGAACGAGACCUUCGGGUAUAGGGGGGGAGCGGGGGGUAACGCGGGGGAAGCUGCCCGUAGGUUCGGAGUAACUCCCCGAAAGGGGUGCUAAUACCGGAUAAGGUCUUCCGAGCAAAGAGUUAUCGCCUUUGGAUGGGGCCGCGUUGGAUUAGAUGGUUGGGAGGGUAAAAGCCUACCAAGGCGACGAUGCAUAGCUGGUCUGAGAGGAUGAUAAUCCACAAUGGGACUGAGACCCGGCCCACAAGCGUACGGGAGGCAGCAGUAGGGAACAUUGGACACGGGGCGCAAACCUAAUAACGCAACGCCGCGUGAGAGAUGAAGGCCUUAGGGUUCUAAAUCCCCUUUACCCGAGAUGAUAAUGACAGUACCGGGAGAAUAAGCUCCGGCUAACUCCGUG